AUACGUAGGUGACAAGCGUUAUCCGGAUUUACUGGGCGUAAAGGGCGUGUAGGCGGUCUUGCAAGUCAGAAGUGAAAUUCCUGAGCUCAACUCGGGCGCUGCUUCUGAAACUGCAGGACUUGAGUGCUGGAGGGGAUAGCGGAAUUCCUAGUGGAGCGGUAAAAUGCGCAGAUAUUAGGAAGAACACCGGUGGCGAAGGCGUCUAUCUGGAAAGUAACGGGCGCUGAGGAGCGAAAGCGUGGGGAGCAAACAGGAUUAGAUUCCCUGGUAGCCCACGCCGUAAACGAUGGGCGCUCGUCGUCGGCGGCAGACAGUCGGCGGCCAAGCGAAAGCGAUAAGCGCCCCACCUGGGGAGUACGGUCGCAAGGCUGAAACUUAAAGGAAUUGACGGG
rnacentral:rRNA from 1 species